rnacentral:lncRNA from 1 species
CUCGGACAAGGUCGGCAGUGCUAGCUGCAGUUAGGACAGUGACUUGGACUAGCGUUCCAGCUGAAGUUCGGGACAGUAGUGUCACCUGCGCCCUAAUUUAUCAUCACAAGUUAACGAAGUCUGGGGGUGUGGGGGUGUGUGUGUGUGUGUGGGUGUGUGUGGGCGUGUGUGGGCGUCGGCCUUAAUGUAACCCUGGUCUGCGUAGAAGUGUGUGUUGUUUCGCCUGCUUCCCCUGUACCCAGGUCGGCGGCUAUAGAGAUUGUGGACGGCGCCAUGGGUUUGCCCGAUUUCUGCUGUAAAGAAUAAGACUAGAUUCCAGAAUGACUAUCUUGACUUACCCCUUUAAAAAUCUUCCCACUGCAUCAAAAUGGGCCCUCAGAUUUUCCAUAAGACCUCUGAGCUGUUCCUCCCAGCUACGAGCUGCCCCAGCUGUCCAGACCAAAACGAAGAAGACGUUAGCCAAACCCAAUAUAAGGAAUGUUGUGGUGGUGGAUGGUGUUCGCACUCCAUUUUUGCUGUCUGGCACUUCAUAUAAAGACCUGAUGCCACAUGAUUUGGCUAGAGCAGCGCUUAC